CUUGUAGUUCCCGCGCAGUCUCUUGGUCCAAAAUAUUUGGGCAACCCGCCUCUUCCCUCCACUCCCACUCCCUCUAGAGUCUAAGCUCCAGAACCCUCCCUCCCCAGAAAACUUAAACUAAUUUCAGAGCCCCUCAGUCCCAUGCCAUUUCUUACAAUUACUAUUGCCUUUGCCGCCGCAGGAUACCAGAUAAAUGAGCGAUGGUCGGGAGCAAUAGUACGGCGGAGACGGCGUUUGCCAAGACCAUCUGCUCAAUCUGUUAUGAAGACCUCAAACCCAUUGUCGAAGACCUUCAAUCCAUCUCCAUCUGCGGCCACGUUUUUCACGAGCUUUGUCUUCAGCAAUGGUUCGAGUAUUGCACAAAUGGGAAGAAGAAGAAUUGUCCCGUAUGCAAGCAGACUUGUUCCAAUGCAAACGUGGGUCGGCUUUAUUUUCAAUCUGUUGGGGAUCCGAAUGACCCGGGUUUAACUCAGAAAGCAGGGAAUUAUGAGGAGAACCCCGAGGAAUUGCGGAAUGAAGUGAGGAGAUUGGAAGGGAAGGUUCUAGGGCUUAGCUCAGCUUUGGAGCAGCUACAGAAGAGUUCUGAAGCUGUCAAUGCUGAGCUGUGCAUGUAUAAGGAAACGGUCCAAGUAGAGGUGGCUUUAAAGAAUGAAGCUCUAAAGCAGAAAGCUACCAUCCAGCAACUGAUGCAUUUCAAAUCUGAGGAGUUGGACCGAUCAACUUUGGAGUGCAUGAAGCUUCAGGAAAGGAAUAUGGCCUUAGCCAAGGAACUUGCAGCACUGAAGCUAGUAUCUGAUUUGAACUUGGAUGAGGAUGAGGCUCUGAAGCUUGCAUGCUUGGGUAAUGAGGUCAACAGCAAAGAGACUAUUGAUGUUCUGAAGAAAUCAUUGGUCAUCCGUAACAAGAGCUACAAAGAAUUGAUGACUAAGUGCAAUGUGCUUGGAAGAGGAGAGGCUCGGUCUCUUAGUAAACUAGAGAAGGCUAAAGAUAAGAUAAAGAAGCUGAAGGAAAGGAUCCAGGAACUUGAAUCUGUUGCUGAAGUAAAAGUUAAUGAAACUUUGAGAACUUUGAAAGCUUCUAGAAAAUCUGCUUGUGAGGUAGAAAAACUUGCUAAGGGUUUCGACCAGGGUAGCAGAAAUGACGUAACUUCAUGCAGAGAUCAAAACAAGGAACCUGUUCCGGAAACAGAAAUGGGCACAUCGGAGAAUUCAUCUUGUUCACUAAAGAAAAGGAAGCUUAACUCUUCUGGAUUUACAAGUAAUAGAAGUACAACUGAUAAUGUGGUUCCCAGGAAAAUUAACCCAGCUAAUCAGGAUCAAGGCUACUUCUUGCAUAAUCAAGUUGAGAAUGCGAGGGAGACUUUUGUUCACUUGAACUCGUGUGGACAAUUGAAACCUUUAGCUGAAAAUAGAGGGGCGGCCUGGAAGAGUGGCUCAAGGACAGGGGACACACUAAGUGAAAUCCAAGCUGAGCGACAUGGCAGCAUGGAUGGAGCAUCAGGUGCUGUGGGAGAUACAAAGCCUAAUACCGAGAACAGAGCAGAUAUGGUGGAUAAUAACAUGGUAAUACUAGAUGAUGACAUGGGAUUACCUCAGUCUUUGCUGAAUGUUAGAAAAGAAACUCCAUUACCAGCUGUAGUUUCCCAGCCAGGAAGUCACUGUUUCUCUGGGGGGUUGCUAGGUCCUGAUGGGACUAAAUGGCACUUGGGGAAAUGGUGCAAGAGGAAUAAGGGUCAAGCAUCUCUGUCUACGGGACUGCAAGGUUCAAAUGCAAGUACGGCAGACUUGAUUGCUGUCGGAGCUGAUGGUAGGGGUGGCAGAAUUAAAGUUUUGAGAUCUCUCAAUCAGUCAUCAUUGGAUAACAGAGAAAAUCUCACAAGCACAAAGAAAUGCAAAGUGGGAGACAAACCAAGUAGUUUCCAGUCUCAUGGGUGCUUGCAAAUAGAACACUUCUUCGGAAGGGCAAGUCAAUAGUGGAGAUUCUCGAGUGAAGUUUGUAGCCGGUUUUGGACAUGAGGAGAUUUUUCUCCUUGCGCUUGUGAUUAUGUUAACUUAUCCUCAAUUUAGUCUGUGGCUCAAAUUAGGAAGGGUGUAGCCUUGGCAGUUUUGAAUUUUCGUGAUCCAACGCCAUAUUUGCUUUAUUUCUUUUCCUCACCUACAAACUACAGUUAUAAAGGGGCAAAAUCGAGGGUGCAAUUUCCAUCGUCAUGGUUCAAGGGAUUGGAGUUAUAAAACUUUGAUGAUUUUGAGUGGGAAACACAUGCUUUGUAGCUUGACACCUGCCAGCACAUGUUAAGAAGUUUUGCAAAUUCUCUAUGUUACUUUUUUGAAUUCAUUCAAUCGUCUCUCCGAGUUUGUCUUUCUUUUUCGGUGGGUGAGAACGAGAUGAAGAGGUAGGUAAUCAGGGUAUUGUUGGGCCUUGUUUCUGGUUGCCAACUUUGCUAAUUUUCUGAGGUAACAUUUAUCUGUAGGAAGCAGCAGUAGUCAUGAGCUGAAAAUACAGUAGUAAAACUUCAAUAUGAUUUGGCUAGAACUAGAAGUUGUCUGUCUAUCCAAAACUGCAGAUGUGGAAUACAGAAGUUGCAGAUUCACGGCCAAAUUUGUCCGAGUUCGACGAAUAUCUUUAAGGCAAUAACGAGGAGGCAAAAAGUUUUAGAGUCACACCUGAACAUUUGAGGAUGAUCUGGCAACGACCAUAGUUAGCUGCAGCAACUUCGGACUUUCAGUUGCAGACUUGACUGCGCCGGCCGGCGCGCGUUCAUACAUGAAUUGCCUUCUUUUUGCUUAAAGUUUGGGUGUCAGUUGUUUCUUCUUAGGCUCUAUCUUCUUCUGUGGACUCUUCUAGUAGUACGCAAGGGGUGGUUGAGAAUCUUGAAUUGAGUUUCGAAAGCUGGAGGUGGUGGUGGUGGCUCCAUAGCUGAAGGUGGAAACAGAAAAUGUUGUUAUUGUUUGAAGAUGAUGGCAUUGAAUCGUGCCGAAGCUAGAAAGAAAAGGUUGAAUUGGACUUGUUUGGAAGGGGAAAGAUGAUCCGAAAUGGAGCAAUCAUCAUCAAUCCAAUUAAGCUUGCAAUUUGUUUAUUUUUCCUUUCCCAAUUCCCACCCACUCCAUAAAAUAUAAUACUACUACUCCUUGAGACGUCUGUGAAUUGAUAUUUUUUGCAUA